UGGGGAAUAUUGGACAAUGGGCGCAAGCCUGAUCCAGCCAUGCCGCGUGAGUGACGAAGGUCUUCGGAUUGUAAAGCUCUUUUUGGCGGGGACGAUAAUGACGGUACCCGCAGAAUAAGCCCCGGCUAACUUCGUGCCAGCAGCCGCGGUAAUACGAAGGGGGCUAGCGUUGUUCGGAAUUACUGGGCGUAAAGCGCACGUAGGCGGAUUUGUAAGUCAGGGGUGAAAUCCCGGGGCUCAACCUCGGAACUGCCUCUGAUACUGCGGAUCUCGAGUCCGGAAGAGGUGAGUGGAAUUCCUAGUGUAGAGGUGAAAUUCGUAGAUAUUAGGAAGAACACCAGUGGCGAAGGCGGCUCACUGGUCCGGUUCUGACGCUGAGGUGCGAAAGCGUGGGGAGCAAACAGGAUUAGAUACCCAAGUAGUCCCUGAG
rnacentral:rRNA from 1 species